rnacentral:rRNA from 1 species
UACGUAGGGCGCAAGCGUUGUCCGGAAUUAUUGGGCGUAAAGAGCUCGUAGGCGGCCUGUUGCGUCCGCUGUGAAAUCCCGGGGCUCAACCCCGGGCGUGCAGUGGAUACGGGCUGGCUGGAGGCAGGCAGGGGAGAACGGAAUUCCUGGUGUAGCGGUGAAAUGCGCAGAUAUCAGGAGGAACACCGGUGGCGAAGGCGGUUCUCUGGGCCUGCACUGACGCUGAGGAGCGAAAGCGUGGGGAGCGAACAGG